CAAGGAUGAGACAGGGUACCGGGCUAAAUUUUCCACUCGUUCGGCAAACCGAAUCAGCCGAGGAGUACCGAAUGAUGCAGGUAUGGCGUUGUCCAUUCUAUAUUGGUCAAAUUAUAACGUUACAGCUGGUACAACGAAACUUAUGCGGAAAUCGGAGACUGCCGUACAAUCUGACCACGUUUUAAAGUUUGUGUAUGACAAAGAUGCGCAGUUUAUAAGGGGAAUUGUCCAAGCCUCCAUGCGAGACCGGAGCUACCAGGUUACUAUUACUCUUGGUUCUAGCUACACAGUUGAACAGAGUACCUGUGUGUUAAUGGGAUGGAUAAAUGUCACCAUAAAGCCAGCAUUCUUCUCUAUGGGUACAAAAAUGUCAGCAAAACUGAUGUACGCCAGAGUUGGAUUAAGCAUCCAAAGAGUGCGCCACCUUGUCAAACUAAGACGAUGGAAGAACUUUUUCCUGCACCUGACAGGUUUAUAAAUUACAGCAAUGCAUUGGAUACUAUCCCCCGAGCCGCCUGUGCCCACACUUGCAGUGCCUCUAGUUGAAGACCUCAUCUCUAGCCAGGAAUUUAUUUCUGCAGAGAAUCCAAUCGCUUGGAUGAAGCAAAAAUUAAUGAUAAAUGAGCAAGAAAAUCCAACAGUUUGCCUGUCUUACCACUGGUCAAAAGGAAAAUUGCAUGUGGUCAUCUGUUAGGAAGAAUAGAUUAACAGCUUCAAACUUUGGUUGUGUUUUGGCAGCGAUCAAGAGAAAUAGAUAUCCUGUCUCCUUAUACAAAAGAUUAUGCUCAGCUUAUGAUCUGUCAAAGAAGGAUGCCAUUAUUUGGGGGACGUGCAAUGAAAAAGUCGCAAUUGAAAAGUAUAGAACUUUUGGGGAUGCAAUUGUAGAGCCAACAGGUAUCUGGCUACACUGUAAUGGGGUUCUUGGGUCAAGCCCCGAUGGACUCAUUCGUCGUCCUGCUGCAUUCGGAUUCAGCUAUCAGAAUCCAGGACUCGCUGACAUAUUAGAGAUGUCAAACGUUAAGCCAGAAAUACUGGAGGUGAACAGAAGCUAUUGAAAAAGUACAUGAUUACUGCCUAGAGGUUCAGGAUUUUAAUGGAGUCAAGUCCUUCAAGCUUCGAGAGAACCACCAAUACUAUGAUCAAGUGCAAGGACAGCUUCAUAUAACUGGGAAAUCCUUGUGUGAUUUUAUGGUCUGGACACCAAAAGACUGUGCGAUUGUGAGAAUUAACAAAGACAUCAAUUGGGAGAUCAACAUAUCUGUUUUGACGGACUUUUAUUUCUGUAAAUUUCUCCCGUGUUUACAACAGCUAUAAGAUAUAACAUUAAACAUGGUGAAAACAUUUUAAUUUUAAUAUCUUAGUUAUCUACACUUGCAAAAUUCUGAGCAAUUUCCUGCAUAAGGGGAUCCUGAAAAUUGACUAAAACACAGCAUAAUUGAAAGACUUUUGUAGAAAUAUAUCUAAAUUGCUGCGGAACAUGCCUUAAAAUUUCAUAAUUCUUCAUACGCUCAUUUGCUCUUUCAACAUGUAUGUGUGACUUAGCAAUUCUUCGACAUAGUUGGACCUCACUGGGGGUGUAUUGGGAUUUAGAUGUAAGAAAGGGAGGAAUAUUUAGAUGUACUCCUUGGGGCAACAACUUGUGAAUAGUGAACCCUUUGUCUGCUAAGAUCAUAUCACCUGGAGAUAACUGUUCUAAGACUUUACAAUGUUCUACAAUUGCAACAUCAGAUGUGCUGCCAGGGUACAAUUUACUAAUAAAUACCAAAGCACCAUUAGGUGCAACACCUGUAACACUUUUAACAGUGUGAGAAUUUUUGUAUCCGCUGUAUGUGCUGGCCUGCAAUCUCAUAUCAUUCCCUGGAACAUCCUGGGUGAUUUCUGUUGCAUCAAGUACUAUUCUACAUGAACUAAAAUCCCCAAAACUUGUAGGCAUAGACCCCUUGCACUUCUGGAGAGAAGGAAUGCGACUCUCUACGAGUCCUUCAUAUAAUAUUUCAUGCAAAGCACAAAUCUGCGAAGUUACAAUGUUAUUGACAGAUGACGGACUCGUGUUAAUCCUCU